AGUGGGAUUGCUGAAUUAGAUUGUAGUCCUAUUUUUGAUUUUUUGAGGAACUUCCAUACUGUUUUCCAUAAUAGCUGUACCAGUUUACAUUCUCACCAACAGU
rnacentral:pre_miRNA from 1 species